CAAAGGAUAGUUUAUUUAAAAUUUUAAUUUUGGAGAUUAAAGAUAAAAGUUUUCUUUUUCCUUUGA
rnacentral:tRNA from 1 species